rnacentral:rRNA from 1 species
GACGAACGCUGGCGGCGUGCCUAAUACAUGCAAGUCGAACGCUUUUUCUUUCACCGGAGCUUGCUCCAUCGAAAGAAAAAGAGUGGCGAACGGGUGAGUAACCCGUGGGUAACCUGCCAAGCAGAAGGGGAUAACACUUGGAAACAGGUGCUAAUACCGUAUAACACUAUUUUCCGCAUGGAAGAAAGUUGAAAGGCGCUUUUGCGUCACUGAUGUAUGGACCCGCGGUGCAUUAGCUAGUUGGUGAGGUAACGGCUCACCAAGGCAACGAUGCAUAGCCGACCUGAGAGGGUGAUCGGACACACUGGGACUGAGACACGGCCCAGACUCCUACGGGAGGCAGCAGUAGGGAAUCUUCGGCAAUGGACGAAAGUCUGACCGAGCAACGCCGCGUGAGUGAAGAAGGUUUUCGGAUCGUAAAACUCUGUUGUUAGAGAAGAACAAGGAUGAGAGUAAAAUGUUCAUCCCUUGACGGUAUCUAACCAGAAAGCCACGGCUAACUACGUGCCAGCCGCCGCAGUAA